rnacentral:lncRNA from 1 species
CUAUCCCUUCAUCUACACCACUAACCGAUUGGGAGUUUCCGGUGACCCACAAAAAUGGUAAACAAUCUUAGCCACCAGUGGGUUUCAAGUUUAGUCAAAUCAGAGGUGAAGUGUUUCUUUGUGCGAAAGCAUUUAUGGACGUAAGAGAGGAUGUUUAGGUGAUUUUUUGUUUAUUGUGUAUUGAACACCAUAUUAUGUGUGUUAAGGUAUGUUUAUUACUCUGGAUUUGGGCAUAAUCAUAAGUUUUGUAUGUUCAGACCAAUUGUGAUGAGAAGCGGUUGAUGAGGAAGCAAUCACAUGACCAAUUGAAUUGCAUUCGCUAGAUACAUCAAUCUCACACAAGAUUGGAUAGAUAAUCAUUAUCGAGUAUGGGUUCUUUCAAAACGAAGGAGGUUAUGGAAACUGGGCACUUUUAAAACCAUUCAUCUAGAUGGCUGCGCUUGAUUUCUAGGUUUGUUAGAAAGUGACAAAGUUUGGUAUUAAUGUGUUAUUGAUGGUGAUAUUCUAAUGUAUUAGUACUUGCGCCACGGUUGAAGGAUCAAAUGGCAGAGUUGAAACAAGAUGAAGCAUGAUAUGAAGGAGAAAUUUGUAUCUUUAUAUUGUUAGGUUUCAAUAAGUUUGAUAUUCUUUUUCCUAUUUCGUUUGUAUAUUCAUCUUCGGUGUGAUUUGUAU